UUGUACGAAUCUCCUCUUGUGUCGUCUUUGUUCGUGUUCUUUCGGAUCAAAUCGGUAGAUUAGGUUCUUUCCUACACAUGUAGCUACUUGGGUUACACAGCCAUGGCGGAGGUAGACGUACUAGACGACACCAGACUGGAGCAAGUAUUACAGGAUAUCAGCAGUGACGACAGAGCGACAAUGGUCGCCGGUGAAAUUAGGUCAAAGCUACAGUGUAUUAUGACCGAGUUUGACUUCAUCGUGGACACAUGGCCGGACUAUAAGGCUCUCGUAAUCCGUCGCUCUGCAAACUCGCAGACCCCAUUAUCGGGACAGGCGUCAAUGGUGUAUGCAAAAGAGCUGGACUCCUUGAGGAGAAUACUUAUGAAAGAGGGAGUCAUUGAUUGGUCAAAUAUUGUCAGAAUUAGAGGUUGUGAUUCGAAGUUGAUGUCAGUUUUCUCAGCCAUUCUGAAUCAACUCAACAAAAGUAUCACCCACAGGACACCCUGUAGACUUCUGAGAGCCACAGAGGAAACCUUGCAACUCAGGCCAGUUUCGGAGGGGUUUACAGUGUCAAGCGUCCAAGUAGGUCAGUCAGAAAUGGUGAACUCCACUUGGAAGUUCAGGAGUGAAUACUCAACCAGCUGCAUUCGCAAAAUAAUUGGAACGAUGCCGUCGUGCUGCCUGUACGACAACAUGGGACACGUGGUGGGCUACGCCCUCACCUACCACUACGGCUUUUUGGGGAUGUUGCACGUGAAAGAGGAACACCGAGGAAAGGGGUACGCCAAGGUGAUCAUGUCUCACCUGGCGCACAAAUGUCUUCAGGAACAGGACUAUGCUUCCGUGGUGGUUGAAAGCGACAACUGUCUGUCCAUGAAACUUCAUACAGAUAUAGGAUUUGUAGAAGUGCCCGACUUGAAACUGUGUUGGAUGACGUGUACAUAGUUCUAAUAAAAUUCCCGUGUUACAUGAAGUCUCUGGCAUUGAAAAGGUAUGCAAAGUUGUUUUGGAAGCAAUGAAAUUACAUUUAAAUAAAUGUCAUUAUGCUUUAUCCUAUGGUUAUGAAAAUGUCAGUUCUGCUCUUCAUACCAAGGUAAUUCACAUUACACUUCUUCGAAUGUUGUGAAAGGAUAUUUUUCGGCUUUAUUUACUAUUUAUAUUGGUAAAGCCGAAAUUUCUUUGUUGUAUGUUUGGUGAUCUUGCGUUGAAGAGUGAGUGAGUUUUGUUUUACGCCGCUUUUAGCAUGGUACAAUGUGUGAAGCCCAUUUCUGGUGUCCCCCGCCGUGAUAUUGCUGGAAUAUUGCUAAAAGCGGCGUAAAACCAUACUCACUCACUCACUUUAAUUUCAUAAACCUAUGGGCAGUGGCUUCUGUCCUGACUAGCCAGCAGCUACCUCACCUUUUUCACCCCACAAAACGUCCAGAGGGCAUAUCUGGUGAGCAUAUUCAGUUUAUUCAGCAUUUGUGAAGAUUCUACAGUUAUGGGCUAAAGCUGGUUGAUGAUGUACAGCAUUACCUUAUGUUUGGUCUUGGUGUUAUUUAUUGUCAAUAGAUCCGGGGAGAAAUACUUUCAAAAUUCCAUUCUGUGAUAACUGACUACGACAUCAUCGUGGACCGCUGGCCAGAUUACUGGCCCUAGUUGUGCGUGCUGAUCCAAGGUAAUAUUAACAUUCAAAAAGUAAAUGCAACAGCUGUUGACGAUGGCACAGAUGUAUGUUUAUUAACUGUCAGCACUGUGGCCAUCGCAUUAUCAUGCAAUCCUAGAAGGAAGUUCAACCAUCGCCAUCGCAUUUUUUAUGGAAUCCCAGAAGGGACAUUGUCGCCCUUACAAAAACAAGUAAAAAGUGUCAAAAAUAACCAAAGCGCAACAAUGCGACAACGCGACAUUUUGGCCUUUUGUAGCAUUGUCGCUUAGUCGCAUUGUCGUGCCUCAGUAAAGCUUUCAAAAUGUUUUAUGGUAGACAUGUUGAGGACAUUUCCAAAUUUGAGGAAUCAGAGACAAAAUUGAUGUCCAAUGUAAUUCCCUAUUUUGACGGGUGCCAGCGAUUAGGCAGAAUACGUUCUCCUUUUCUCGAACAUCUGGUAUCAUUACUAUUUGAUGGUGAUUCAUAAACAUAUGCUCAUGAUAUAGUCGGAAUCGUGCAAUCGAUUCUAUUGGGUAUGGAAACUUGCGACAUAUUUCAAGGUCAAAUUAUGUCUUGUUGUCGCAUUGUCGCACCAUCAAAAACGUGUAAAAAGGCGUCUUUUUAUUUUACCAAAGGGCGACAAUACGACAUAUUUUGACCUUGAAAAUUGUCGCAUUGUCGCCCUUUGGUAAAAUAAAAAAGAUUAUUCAAAGUGCGACAAUGAGACAAAUGGCCAAAAUGUUGUGUUGUUGCAUUGCCACGCUUUGGUUAAUUUGGACAUUUUUGGCUUGUGUUUGUAAGGAAGACAAUGCGACAAUGCGACAAUGUCCCUUCUAGGAUUCCAUACAUUUUCUAUAUGAGACGGAGGAUGAUCCACCAGAAGAUAUGUGUUCGUUCAUUUGUUUUUGAGACCAGAUCCAAGCGCCAGUUCACAAAGGUGGUGGUUGUAGCCGCGUAUGUGAUGCUAUUGUGCAAUGGCCAUUAUCCUGACUAACCAGAAGCUAACUCAGCUUUUACUGACUCUACAAAACGUCGAGCGAGCAUAUCAGAUCCGGGGUGAAAUACUUUCAAAACUCCAUUCUGUUAUAACUGACUACGACUUCAUCGUGGACCGCUGGCCAGAUUUCAGAGCCCUAGUUGUGCGGGCUGAUAGAGCUACAGCCAAGUAUCCUGUCUUCUUGGGCAACCAUACAUAUGUUUACACCACAGACCGAGACGCUCUGGAGUUGUUGCUUCAACAGCCUGGCGUCAUACACUGGUCAGAAAAGACUGCGUUUUCAUGUUUCGGCGAUGAUGUUGUAUCAACUGUUAUCAAUAUGAUAUGUCAACGUGACAGGACAUACAGUGUGGACUCAUUUAUUGUUAUGAAAGUCACAAAAGAGACGCUGAGACCGAGAAACAUUCCAGAGGGAUAUACAAUGUCAAACCUUCAUCCUGAAGAAGCCCAUCUCGUCAACACCAGGUGGUAUUACAACGAAGGCAUACACUCGGAGAUAUACUUGAAGGAAAUCCUCAGCAAACUACCAUCUUGCGGCCUGUACAACGAUGAAGGCUCCUUGGUUGGAUGCGCCCUGACUUGCCAUCAUGGGAAUAUUGGUUUGCUACAUGUUGUGAAGGAACACCGAGGGAAGGGGUACGCUAAGGUGAUCAUGUCUCACCUGGCCAGUCUGUGUCUACAGCAGAUGGACGAGGUGCA